rnacentral:misc_RNA from 1 species
GUAUUGGAAAUGUUUUACUCUGAAUAAUAGAGGAACUUUCAGCUAAAAAAUUUAAAUAUAUAACGAUGGCAAUCUGCAACUAAAGAGCGAUGUUCCAUUGGGUUAUUUUUGGAGAAGUCCCAUCUUGUGACUAUCGAGGAUAUACUUCAGUGAUUGAUGCUUCAUCAACAGAACAUUGCGCUGACUUGCUAGUAGAUUGAUCCGACUCCAACGCCUUUAAUGUUAAGCUCUGCCCUGAUCUGCUGUUGAGAACAAAUGCUGGCUGCCGAGGCACUGGAAGAGUAACAGAAUAACUGUUAAGCAUAAGAACUACUGUUCCCAUUGUUGGUCUGUCAGCUGGAUCUUCUUGAACACAUAACAACCCUAUUUCGAUGCAUCUUAAGACUUCAUUUCUUGAAUGUGAAUCUAUCAAAACUGGAUCCAACACUUCCAAAGGUGUCCCAUUUCUCCAAUGUUUCCAUACAUAGCUCACAAGAUCAUCAGCACCAUCUAUUUGAUAGAAAGAACUAUUCUUCUUUCCACUUAUAAUUUCGAGAACUAAGACACCAAAGCUGUACAUGUCUGACUUGACC